rnacentral:ncRNA from 1 species
AGGUACUCUCAAGUCUCGCCACGGAUGGCGGUGAUAGGGAUAGCGGCAGGUUGGCACAGCCAGCGGUUCACCUGUUCGACCGUAGUGAGGGCCGUUUCGCCCCACGAGAACAAGUUGCUAACCGCGAACCCUAAUAUCCCAACUGCGGUCGGGAUUCCCGCGUUGACGAGA